ACCUGGGUGGUUCAGUGAGUAGAGCAUGUGACUCUGGAUCUCAGGGUUGUGAGUUUGAGCCUCAUGUUGGGUG
rnacentral:tRNA from 1 species